UCCGUAGGGUGCAAGCGUUGUCCGGAAUUAUUGGGCGUAACGAGCUCGUAGGCGGUUUGUCGCGUCUGCUGUGAAAACUCAGGGCUUAACUCUGAGCUUGCAGUGGGUACGGGCAGACUAGAGUGCGGUAGGGGAGACUGGAAUUCCUGGUGUAGCGGUGAAAUGCGCAGAUAUCAGGAGGAACACCGGUGGCGAAGGCGGGUCUCUGGGCCGUAACUGACGCUGAGGAGCGAAAGCAUGGGGAGCGAACAGG
rnacentral:rRNA from 1 species